rnacentral:rRNA from 1 species
AGAGUUUGAUCCUGGCUCAGAUUGAACGCUGGCGGAAUGCUUUACACAUGCAAGUCGAACGGCAGCACGGGGGCAACCCUGGUGGCGAGUGGCGAACGGGUGAGUAACACAUCGGAACGUGCCCAAUCGUGGGGGAUAACGUAGCGAAAGCUACGCUAAUACCGCAUACGAUCUACGGAUGAAAGCGGGGGAUCGCAAGACCUCGCGCGAAUGGAGCGGCCGAUGGCAGAUUAGGUAGUUGGUGGGGUAAAGGCUCACCAAGCCAACGAUCUGUAGCUGGUCUGAGAGGACGACCAGCCACACUGGGACUGAGACACGGCCCAGACUCCUACGGGAGGCAGCAGUGGGGAAUUUUGGACAAUGGGCGCAAGCCUGAUCCAGCCAUUCCGCGUGCAGGAUGAAGGCCUUCGGGUUGUAAACUGCUUUUGUACGGAACGAAACGGCCCUUUCUAAUACAGAGGGCUAAUGACGGUACCGUAAGAAUAAGCACCGGCUAACUACGUGCCAGCAGCCGCGGUAAUACGUAGGGUGCAAGCGUUAAUCGGAAUUACUGGGCGUAAAGCGUGCGCAGGCGGUUAUGUAAGACAGUUGUGAAAUCCCCGGGCUCAACCUGGGAACUGCAUCUGUGACUGCAUAGCUAGAGUACGGUAGAGGGGGAUGGAAUUCCGCGUGUAGCAGUGAAAUGCGUAGAUAUGCGGAGGAACACCGAUG